rnacentral:lncRNA from 10 species
CAGGAGUUUCCUCUGCAGACACAUUGUCCCAGCCCAUCCUCCUGUUCUCCCUCCCUCUCACCUCCUCCCUCUCUUCUUUCCAAACUCCUGGAUCAGGGGGAAUCUUAUGAUUCCAACAAACCUGCCUCGACGAUGUCAUAUCAGGCUGCCCUGCCCCAGGGAAGAAAGGGCCGUGACCAGGACCGCCAUCGGUGAGGGAGGAACCAGAAUGCAGCUGCUGAUGGAAAAACACAGAACUUCUGGGAAGAGGAGGCCAGAGGGCGGUCCUCCAAAAAAAGUCAUGUGACACAGCUCUUGCCAGGGAGAUGACAGCUGGAAUGAAUGUGAAUGUGAUGUCUGGAGCUUCAGCAGCCAUAUUUGGACCAUGAGCCCAAUUGGAGAAUGAUAGUCCUGUGCCCAGGAUGAUGAGACAGAAAGAGAAAAGGAGCCUGAGUCUCUCCUCCCAGAUGGCGCUGUGGAGCUGCCGUACCAGCCCUGGGCCGCCUGACUUUGGACUUCUUGUAACCAAAUAAAUGAAUAAAUAACCCCGUAAUCUCUGUAAGCCCCCACUUGUCAGGUUCCUAUUAGCAGCAGCAAUGUACAAUUCCUAACUGCUGCAAGCAUAGUUUCCUGAUGGGGAGCAGCUCCAAUCAGAACUGGAUAAGAUCCUGAAGUGGUUUGCAAACUGCAUUCUGCAGGAGCUGAGGGGUCCCAUGAAGCCCCCUCUCAGACUGGAGAUCAGGGGUGGGAGGAGUAAGGGACCACACUGCCUCUCCCCACCUCAUCUUUUUUCCAAGUUUGUUUUAACUUACUGUAGGGGGAGACGUGGCCCAGUUAGGCUUUGCAGAAAGAAUAGAUUUCAGGACAAAAAAAAUUAAAGGUUUGGAAGUCACUCUUCUUGUCCAACCCCCUCAUUUUACAGAUGAGUGAUCUGAGGCCCCCAAAACGUCUUGCCAGUUAAGCUCAGCCAGGCAGAGCCAAGAGGAGAACCCAAGUUUUCUGCUCUUUCCGGGGGCCCAGCCAAGUGCUGGAACUGCCACACACAAAAAAAAGCUGAUCCAAAGAGUUUACAAUCGCUGACGAAGUCCCAACCCACCGAGCUCUGAUGGGCUGCCUGCUCUUG